rnacentral:lncRNA from 1 species
AUACCCAGUGAGAAGAUUCCUCAAAAGUGAGGAUGAACUUAAGUUUUUGGACAAAACAAAAAAUUGCAGAAAUUUGUCACCAGCCAACCAGCCCUAAAAUAUAUCCUGGAGGGAAUUCUCCAGGUGGACACUUGGUGUGGGAAGGAACAAGGAAUACUCCUGAAAGAAGCAGAAACGGGAAAGCUAAAUAAAUAAUAGAGUGCCUAAAACUAUCUCUUAGAGUUCAAAAUACAGGUAGACUUAAGAUACAUGGACAGUAAGGACAAAAGGUGGGAGGGAAAUAAAGGAUUGCACCAUCCUGCAAGGGGUGAAAGUAUGGAUUUCAAGUAGAUUCUGGGCCAGGUGCAGUGGCUCACACCUGUAAUCCCAGCACUUUGGGAGGCCAAGGCAGGCGGAUCACCUGAGGUCAGGAAUUUGAGACCAGCCUGGCCAACAUGAUGAAACCCCGUCUUUACUAAAAAAACAAAAAAUUAACUGGGCCUGGUGACGCAUGCCUGUAAUCCCAGCUACUCGGGAGGUUGAGGCACGAGAAUUGCUUGAACCCAGGAGGCGGAGGUUGCAGUGAGCCGAGAUGGCACCACUGCAUCCUAGCCUGGGCGACAGAGCAAGACUUCAUCUCAAAAAAAAUAAUAAAGUAGAUUCUGACAUCAGACGUGAUCUCUAGGGUAACCGCUAAAAGCAAUAAACAUGUUGAUGAAACUGGACUAAUACCUACUUUCACUAAUCCCAAAGAAGGUAAGAAAGGAAAAAUAACCAGAUGGGACACAUAGGAAACAGAGGCAAAUGGUAGCUUUAAACCAAAUGUGUCAGCAAGCAUAUUAAAUGUAAGUGGAAUGCAAACUCCAAUUAAGUGUGUUAGAUUGGAUAGACAAAACCCAGCUAUGUUCAUUCACAGGCUUCACAUAUCAAGUCCAAGGAUGCAGAGUGAAUGCGAGAGGCCAGAAGCCAGGGCACCACCCACACAUCUGCUACAGCUGUUUACAUCUGACAGCACGGCCUCAGGCAGGAGGACUCAUUAGAGAUGGAGGGACAGCUCAGUGACCAAGUGGUGAGGUUAAUGGGAUGACACAACAAUGCUAAACAUAAAAGCACCAAAGAACACAACUCCAAAAUGUGACUGGAACAGAAAGAACUAAGAGGAGAAAUAGACAAUCACAGUGAGAGAUCUGAACACUUGCCUCAGCAGCAAAUAAAGGCUCUGUGGCUGUAUUCAGUAUUUUAUCACCACAAAAAUUCUCAUUGGAGCUUCUGAGUUGAGAGGCAGAGGCAUUUGCA